rnacentral:tRNA from 1 species
AUUUAAAUAGCUUAAAUUUAGAGCAUAAUAUUGAAGAUAUUAAGGUAAUAUGAUUAUUUUUAAAUA